GCUGCGGAGAAACAUAGAGACUCGCCCCUUCGACUCGACGCUUCUGUCGCACACCUCAGCGGAAAUCAUUUCGAAUUAUGUUCGCUGAGUCGUUCGACUAUAAACCACGAAACGUUUCGAAACGAUCAGGGUUUUGUUAAAAUUGAUGAGUUAUUUGUUUAAACACGCGCAAAUAUAUCGUCUUUGAUCUUUUAGGUGUUUUUUUUUUUUUUUUUUAGCGUCACUCGUACAUCUCGUCGUGAAUCAUGUACGCGUUGUAGCGAAAUUAAAAAUUAAAAAUAACCGGAGACAGACUCAGACGUACUCGUCGGUCGGUAUGGUUUUUGUCAGAGAGAAAGAGAGAAAAAAGAAACAGAGACUUCUCACUGUAUUGUUCAUAAAACCCAACUACUACACCCACUAUUCGCGUGUCACACGUGUGUCCGCGACUCCGGGUGGAAUCACGCGAAGUGACGUUCGUCGUUGGUGGUAUAAAAAUCGGAGUCGAGCCACACGACGUCGUUUUUCCUCGUCGUGCGGUUUUGCGGAGCCGCGUGGUCUAUAGAGAACACAAGAACGAAAACUUAUUGAUUCUUGUAACAACGCGAGAGCUACGCGAGUCUAGUAUCAUUCAAACUUUCAUCGAUCACUUCUCAAAUCCUCCACGGAGGCGAGAUCGAGGUCUGUAUAAAGUUCGCGAUCGCCUUGGUAACCGGCUGUCAAAACACUACGAGCACGUCGGCGAGAACGUCAUCGCGAAAACGGUUCGCCAUCCAGUCGCUGACGUCUCUGGAUGGAUCAUCUUAUCUUGCGACAGGUAUCAUCGCAACGCUCGAUCUGCGGUGCCGGGGAGCGGAGUCGAGUUAUCCGCGGCUGAGAUGAUCGCCGGCGAGGAAUCCGCUCGGUAUCGUCCGGAAUGUAGAAGCUGACGACGUCGACGAGAGACGCGCGAGAUUCCACCGGGAAGUGACAUCUCCUCGGGUCGCCGAAGCAUGAACGUGGGAAAUCUCUGGUUCGUUUGCCUGUCCGUUCUCGCCUUCCAAAGAGGAUGGGCCAUCGACUGUUUCAAGUGUGUAUCGAUCAAUGGCAACAACAAACCUUGCGACGACCCAUUUCACAACAAUGGGAGUCUUGCUUUCUUGGAGUCGCCCUGCUUGGGGGGUCGGAAGGGCCGGGAUGGUCUCUUCCCAGCGACAGCUUGCAUCAAGAUUGCAGGCGUAUACGAUGAAUCUGGUGUGUCCCUCAUGGUGAGGAGCUGCGCGUUAGAUAGCGGAACCCUAACAACGGACUCGGAAAUUAUCAGGAUGUCCCACUGCGGUGGUUUUUACUUCGACAACAAAUACGUUCGUGGAUGCGUGCAAUCCUGCAGCGAUGCGGACGCGUGCAACGCCGCCGCAUCGUCGAGAGAAAUCGCGGCGCUCGUUGUCUUAAUGUUAACGUCGAUUCUCGCGGCGUUCGCGUAAAAUUAAAAACGAAAUGACACGAAAUAUAAUGACGCGCGUAUAAAACGAGCGUAUAAAAUCUAGCGACGUAAAAACGAGUUCAAUUAUUAAUUAGGAAAUACAAUCACGUGGACGAAAAACCAUCAACGGUGGCCUUGAGAACUUACGUACAACACAACAAAUGUUACAUUCUAUACAUAUAUAUAGCUAAUACAUUAAUAUGUAUUACUAUGUACAAUUAACGAUAAUCUUUCAUUAAACUCAAACGACCACAUAGUAAAAUACUGCCAGAUUACGAUUAAGCUACGUAUAGUAUUUAUCAUUAAAAUAAUAAUAAUACUAAUAAUAAUAAUAAUAAUUCACACACGCGCGCGUUCAUUUAUUCUAUCACUGGCAAUUGUAUCAAUACGCAUGCGACGAUAUGUCCAUUGUAAUUACCGCUUGAUAUCAAUAAAACAUAUCUUGAAAUUGCUAAAUGAACAUAAGUGCGUUUCCUUGUAUCUUUUCUUUGUGUUCUUAUCGCGGGAAACAAUAAUGUAUACAUGAGCAAAUUUCAAGCAAUACAAAAACAUCCAUCGGUUUUUGUUUCACACACACACACACACACGCAAAUUAAUUGUUCUAUUUCUGUUGCAACGCGAGAGUUUAUUUUCAUGUCAAUUUUGCGAGAAAAAAUUAUAUGGCGAAGCGUGAAUUUCUAAGAUCGACCAUGAUGAGUCAACUGUCAAAGGCCAGCAUUCACUUCACGAUCCUCCGGCGAUUCGUCUGCUGGCUCUGGGAAACUAUCGAGCACAUUCUGCUGAUCCUGCUCGACUUCGUGACGAGGCUAAUUGAACUGAUACUCGUGGUGACGAACUUAUUAUUUCAGAUAAUCUGCUUCUUCAGAGAUUUGUGCAUCGACGCGUUGCAGACGUUCGCUAAUAUUUUCCGCGGUAUCGUUAACGUCAUUAGCAGCAUCAGCUGCGAAGAAGUCGAGGACUUUGCCUCCGCCUGUAUCGUCGUGAUUUUAUGCACAGGAGCCGUCAAGAUGUUAACGAACUUUUUAAAAAAGACUUGUCGCACGUGGCGAAGUGCGGGCACUUUAAACCGUUUGUGCGCGUGUCCCGCGUGGAAUAUCGCUGUCACAUGACACGGAAGAUCAGCGGUGCAAAAACCAGAAUCCCCACGCCAAGCUGUUCAACGUGCUUGGGCAACACGUGACUCAGAGUGGCAGUAAUAACAAUACAACGGCGAGGAAUCACGGUCAGGAUACGUGUCCCCCCGCGAAGAAGACAAGCAGAAGAGUAAAGCGGCGAAACAACAGGCGAUAUCGCAAUGUCAGAAAAAAUUGAGAUGUCAUGCGUGCGCGAUUUUCACAUAAAAUAUUUGCGCGGUAGAUAUUUAUGCAACAACAAUUUACGUGCAUUGUUCUCUUUCUCUUCCUUUUCGCAGUAUGUAAUAGGGAACGUAUAACCAAACAUAUAUAUGAUCUUUCUCAUUAUAUAAAACAGUAAUAUAUAAUUUAUACCCUACAUAUGUACAUUGUAUAUAUUAAAAUACAUAAAAAAUGCACAAAAAAAUACGCAACAUUUUACCGUGCUUUAUUUUUGCAUCGAGAUAACAAAGUUGUUAAUUUACUGUUUCGCAGAUAACUUGACACACGCACAUUAAAAAAAAAAUAAAAAAAAAAAAA